CAAGUCCCACUCAACUUCCUCCUCCAAUUCCCGUUCCCCUCCUCCAAACGCGGGAAAAUGUGAAAUGAAAUCUCGGAUUAGCCUCCAUCCCGGACCGCGUCUACAUAGGAUCUAGCUCAUUACCAGGCCCAGUCAGGAGUCAGGACAGCCCGCAAGCCUGCGCCGGAGCCGGAGGACGGAGGCCGGAGGCAUCAGUUUCUUCUCAAAAAGUGGCAGCGGCCAGCGCAAAAUUCGCCCGACCCGGCGCAUUGCCGGCGGCCGAACCACCCCCAGUUCACCACUCCGAUCCCCCGCACCGCCUCCCACCGCUCGAGACUCGAGAGCCUAGAAGAAUCAGAAGUUCGAAGGGAAGCAUGGAAGAGAGCGAGGCGGCGGUGGCGGCGCCGGGUUUUAGCCCGCGGCUUCGUCGACGCGGUCCUCAACAUGAUCGAUGGCGUCCGCGGCGAGGUCUUCGAGGACUGCCUCCAGGAAGGCGCCCCGGAGGCCGUGCGCCGCCAGGGCGGGCGGGAAGGCCGGAAAGCUCGAGCGGGUAAGUGCCUCCGCUGCAAGAAUGUGACAGUGCCCAAACUCCUAGAUUCGAAUUGGGGAGUAUUCAAAUUUUCAGUUCAAACUUGGGCGAAUGACGCCUUAGCCAGUGUUGUUGUGUGCUGCGUUGCCCACGUAGCAGAAACUGCUGCGCCUUGGUGCUAGCAGCGGUCACAAACUCACAAUUUAGCAGAAUCAGGGAGUGGUUAAUGAGCAGUAGCGGCAAAUCGACGUUAAUGGAAUGUUGGUAAUCAAAUCCACCCAGCAAUAGGAUAGGUACUUGCCCCUUGGUUGAUAUAAGUUUGUUUCGUUUGCGGCUUUGUGCUGAUGCCACAACCGACAACGGAGGAAGCAAACUAAAUUUGGCAUGGACAGUUAGGGUUGAUUGCUGAUGAGGUCUGUAGUAGCUAUCUCAUUUAGGUGUUUUUGUAGUAGUUUGGUUGCUAUUCUUUUCUCUCCAUGAUGGGUGAUUAAGUGUCUUUCUUAGCUGAUUCAUAUUCCUA